rnacentral:rRNA from 1 species
CGAAGGGUGCAAGCGUUACUCGGAAUUACUGGGCGUAAAGCGUGCGUAGGUGGUUCGUUAAGUCUGAUGUGAAAGCCCUGGGCUCAACCUGGGAAUUGCAUUGGAAACUGGCGGGCUAGAGUACGGUAGAGGGUAGUGGAAUUCCUGGUGUAGCAGUGAAAUGCGUAGAGAUCAGGAGGAACAUCCGUGGCGAAGGCGACUACCUGGACCAGUACUGACACUGAGGCACGAAAGCGUGGGGGAGCAAAACAGGAUU